UGAACAGUUACUUUCCCGCUGGUGGAAA
rnacentral:sRNA from 1 species